UGGAUGAUGUGGAUUAAUUCGAUGCAGCGCGAAAACCUUACCUACCUUGACAUGUCUGGAACCUUGGUGAGAGCCGAGGGUGCCUUCGGGAGCCAGAACACAGGUGCUGCAUGGGCUGUCGUCAGCUCGUGUCGUGAGAUGUUGGGUUAAGUCCCGCAACGAGCGCAACCCCUAUUGUUAGUUGCCAUCAUUCAGUUGGGCACUCUAGCGAGACUGCCGGUAAUAAACCGGAGGAAGGUGGGGAUGACGUCAAAUCAUCAUGCCCCUUAUGACCUGGGCUACACACGUGCUACAAUGGUUGGUACAACGAGUUGCGAGUCGGUGACGGCGAGCUAAUCUCUUAAAGCCAAUCUCAGUUCGGAUUGUAGGCUGCAACUCGCCUACAUGAAGUCGGAAUCGCUAGUAAUCGCGGAUCAGCACGCCGCGGUGAAUACGUUCCCGGGCCUU
rnacentral:rRNA from 1 species